UACGUAGGGUGCGAGCGUUGUUCGGAAUUACUGGGCGUAAAGGGCUCGUAGGCGGCCAACUAAGUCAGACGUGAAAUCCCUCGGCUUAACCGGGGAACUGCGUCUGAUACUGGAUGGCUGGAGUUUGGGAGAGGGAUGCGGAAUUCCAGGUGUAGCGGUGAAAUGCGUAGAUAUCUGGAGGAACACCGGUGGCGAAGGCGGCAUCCUGGACCAAUACUGACGCUGAGGAGCGAAAGCCAGGGGAGCAAACGGG
rnacentral:rRNA from 1 species